UUUUUAGAUUAUUUAAAUUUUGUGCUUUAUUUGAUUUAAAUGUUAAGUGUGAUGAAUUGUUUUAUUUAAGUGUUGUUAUUUUAUUUAAUUGUUUAUUUGUUUUAUUUGAUUGUUUGUUAUUUUAUUUAAUUGUUAGAAAUGUUUUGGUUAAUUAAUUUAAUAAGUGAUUAAUUGUGUAACAUGUUAUCUUACUAUUAGUGUUACAUUUUAUUUAAGUGUGACAAAUGAGGUAUUUAUGUGAGCUAUGGUGGAAUGCACUAAGGUGCAUGAUAGAUAGUAAUGCACCCUAGUAAUUUAGUGUGUGCUAGUGCAUGGUAGCAUGGUGCACAUGUGUAGAUUUUCUACACAUUUUAGGUUUCCUUAUUUUAGAUUUAAUUGAGUAAUUUAUUUAUAAAAAAAAAAAAAAGAAGAAAAGAAAAGGGAAAUGAGGAGUGGGCGUGUGACCUAGUGGGAAUGGAAUAUUUCCUUAAAAUGGUAAAAGAAAAUAAAGACUUGAAGACCAUGAUCAUUUGGGGAUAGGCAUGAUCAUAUCUUAUCCCUUUGUAUCUUUUUGAAAUAAAGAAAAAUCAAGGAAAAUAAAAGAGAAAUGGAAACUUACCUUAAUAUUGUUUGGGGAGACUUUAUGAGAGGAUUUGUGAUAAAGGGGCUAAGAAAGGAGAGAAGAGCCAUUGCUCUUGUGUGUGUGUGUGGCUGCCGUGACCUAGAGAGAGAGAGAGAGAGAGAGUGGCGUGUAGAGAGAGAGAGAGAGGAAGAAAGAAAGAAAGGAAGAAGGAAGAAGAAAGUGAAGAGGAACCCCCCUAGAGCUUGAACAAGGGUGUGGAGUUUGUGGUAUUGAUCUUUUGUGUUCUUGAUUCUACAAUCAAGAGAGGCUCGUUGAAAAGAUUGUGAAAUUCUUAGCUUGGACCUGAGGUAGCAAAUAGGAUUUCUCUAUGGCACGCGUGGUGACGUGAGGAGUUCUUCAUCAUGGGGUGUAUGGCGUGGGGCAAUCCUAUGGACGAUAAAACGAUCAACGUAGAACGCCAUUUAAAUUAUGUUUUGUUUUAAGGGACUUUUCCUAAAUUAUCAGUGGGACUCUGUUAUUUAACUUAAUUGGUUUUCUUUGAACUUUGCAUAAAAACCUAUGUUUUAUUUUAAACUCAUGGCGCCAACUUGCAUGAUUUUAAAUAAGUCCCCUGAGACUUUAAUAAUGGAUGGUAUUCUUUAUAA